GCGGGCGUCGUAACCUGUUGAUUUAAAGAGCUUUUAUGUAGCUUCGCAUGAUUUAGGUUCCAGCGCCGAAAGGUGUGAGAGUUCGAGUCUCUCCGUCCGCACCA
rnacentral:tRNA from 1 species